AGAGUUUGAUCCUGGCUCAGGACGAACGCUGGCGGCGUGCCUAAUACAUGCAAGUCGAACGGAGAUAUUCGCUGAUGAAGUACUUCGGUAAUGAAUCUUGGAUAUCUUAGUGGCGGACGGGUGAGUAACGCGUGAGCAACCUGCCUUUCAGAGGGGGAUAACGUUUGGAAACGAACGCUAAUACCGCAUGACAUUAUCUUAUCGCAUGGUAGGAUAAUCAAAGGAGCAAUCCGCUGAAAGAUGGGCUCGCGUCCGAUUAGGUAGUUGGUGGGGUAACGGCCCACCAAGCCGACGAUCGGUAGCCGGACUGAGAGGUUGGACGGCCACAUUGGGACUGAGACACGGCCCAGACUCCUACGGGAGGCACCAGUAAGGGAUAUUGGUCAAUGGGGGAAACCCUGAACCAGCAACGCCGCGUGAGGGAAGACGGUUUUCGGAUUGUAAACCUCUGUCCUCUGUGAAGAUGAUGACGGUAACAAAGGAGGAAACUCCGGCUAACUACUUGCCAG
rnacentral:rRNA from 1 species